UUCUUAACUAAGUCUGAGAGCAUUUCAGCAUUUCGCAGUUUCAACCCAGGUUGCCUACACAGGAAAGAAACCAAAACCAUAUUUAUAUGUUUAGAUGUGUGCGUUUUCCAAGUAUGAAUUCUACGUCUUGAUUUUUAUAUCAGUGUUGGAAGGGGUGCAGAGGUUGCCCCGAGGGUUGUGAGGUCUCCAUCCUUGGAAGGUUUUCAAGAUCAGACCGGUUACAACUUUGCUAGUAAGAGUAAUCUGCUCGGACCUCAUAGUCAACCUUUGUGUCCCAACGUGAAUUAUUUUGAUCCAUGUAGCGGGUGCCAGGCAGAACCCCUAUCCUGAAGAGUGAAAGGCUGGGAUGAUAAGACGCAGUGUAUCACCUGGGAACACCAGACAUAGCUAUGGAGUGUUUUUCUCCUGUUUUUGAAAUUCAGUCGUCUGUCGGGAUCAGAAGCCAAACAGAAAAUGGAUGAGCGGCCAAAACUACUUCGUAGACCUCUGCCUCCUAAGCUGCCAUCUAAACUAUCUACACCAAGGGAGAAGGUUGGUAAAGGCAAGGUUUCUGGACAAUACGUAAGUAGAGUGAUGAAGAGUACAAAUGAUGAAAAUAGAAAUGCAGUGUCUGGAGGUUAUGUCAGUGCUCAAGGGCAAGUCAAGCAGACGGAUGCUUCCCUCAGCCAUGGUCAGAUUUCCCAGAGUCCGCUGCAAAUCCAACCCAAAGAUACAUUUCUGUCUGUUCGUCAGGUUUGUCAUGAUCAAACACAAGUCCAACGCAAAGACCUCUUUCUUCAAACUCAGUUCCUACUUGGCAGUACCCAACCCCAGUCUGAACACAUUUCUUCUUGCCCAAUACAUUUCCAAAGCAGACAUGUAUGUCAGUUUAAGCAAGAUAAUAACCAUGAGCAAAUAGAGAUCCAGCCCAAAACUACAGGUUUGCAUGACCAAAGGAAAUUUCAUGACCAAUAUGAAAUUAUUCCUGUCUAUGCAAGCAGCCAAAUGCCAAACCAAAGUGAAGAGGAAAACGUCUUUUCUGUCCAAACUCCUAGAAGCAGUUUUAUUACUACUAAAAAUCUCAGUGUGCCUGAUAACUUUGCAUUUUGCAAAAAUCAUAAAUCCUCUCGUGUGAAGCACCAAGAAUUACAGCGCACUGGCCCCAACCAUUUCACUCCUCCUGUAUUUACACAGGAAAAUCUAGCUGCAGGUUCAUCCUUUCACCAUCUACCUUUGAAGAUGACACUCAAAAAGCCACUUGUUUCCCACUACAACUGCGAAGUCCUCAGUAGCAAGUUAAUGACUGAAAACAGGAGCUUGCAGACUGAAGUUAACACAGUGAUGUUAUCUGAUAUCGAUUUACCAGUAGUUGAAACAAGAAAGCCUGAGCAACAGAAAAUCCUAGGUAAUUGA
rnacentral:lncRNA from 1 species